UAAGUUUUAUGUUGAUAGAAGAAGGUGUUCAAAAGUUAUAAGGAAAAAUGUGUAUUUAUGCUAUCUCAUGACCCAUAGGUGGCGCUGUACCCGAAUUGGGCAUGAACCCUCAGAUCAUGGUGUUGAUGAAGUGUAUCAAGUUUGGUUUCGAUUGAUCAAUGUUUGGCCGAGGUACAGCCUCUUAACCGAUUUUGGGUCGACCUCGUUAUGUUCACAAUUGAAUAACUUUUGAACAAAGAUGAAUAUCAAAAAUCUGUUCAGUCAUUUCUGUGCGGCUCGGUCCGAAGAUCGUCUGUGGCAAAUUUCAGAAAAAUCAAACCACUUUUGAAGGAGGAGUAGCGUUUAAACGGAAACACUUAAUUAGCUUAAUAGCAAUUACUGUAAUGGGUGGAGUCUUAAUGUAAGGUAUAGAGUGUAAUCUCCAUGAAGAGGGAAAUCAUGUGUACUAAGUUUGAUCUGGCUAGAACAAACGGUUCAGGAGUUAUUAAAGUUUCAAUAUUGAAUUUUUGAACUGGUGGUGGCGCUGUAGAGUUGGUCCUAUAGAUCCCAAAAUUGGUCAGAUCACUAUUGGUGACCAUCUCUAGAAGUGUGCCAAAUUUCAUCAUUUUCCCAUGUUCCCUUCAUAGGGCUUGCAUAGUGAUCGAUUGUUUUUGCUCGAAAAUUCUACCAAAAACAAUCGCUAUUAAAGCUGCAAGCAGCCUUUCUGGGGCCAAGCCCUUAUUGCUCUUUGGCUUUUAAGGUUUUUUCAAGCAACUUUUUCAGCACUUUUUACAGAACAGAUAGAUUCAGAAUUACAGAUAAGGUGAAAUCAGAAGGUCUGAUGAGAACGAACGCAGAAUGAAGUUACAAAAACACACUUAUUUUUGAUCCCAUUUUAAGAAACUUUAGUACAGCUCUUAACCAUGUAAUAAAGGAAUUGAAAUGACAACUUUAUACCCAAUUUUAAAUUUUUCCCAUACAGGUUUCGAACCCACAACCUCACAGGUUCAGAACCAACGCCUUAGCUAAGUGCGCCACAUUAGUUGACACACAAUUUACAUGGCACAGAAGAGAGGUCAAGGUGUGAGAAUGAUCUCUCACAAGCCCGAAGUAGCAUUUUAGCCAGAUUAGCAUGCUACGCUAAAAAAUGCUAACAUUGUCAAAGUUAACCAGAUUGCUCAAGAGACCCAUUAGAGUGAAUAGAAAAGUGUUAGCAUUUUAGUUAAUUAGCAUGCUAAGCUAAUUAGCAUAAAUCAACAAACACAGGCACGGUCAACUUCGGAGCUGUACAUCUCUGGAACGGGAACGAAUAUCAAAAAUCCGUUCUGUCAUUUCUGUCAGGCCCGUUCUGAAGUUCAUCUGAUAAAACUUUUAACAAAAUUGAACAAGAUUUCAGGGAGGAGUAGUGAAAAAACUGUAAUUCAUUCCAUUCAAUAUGGCGGACAGACGCCAUGUUGGAAAAUGACAAUUGAGACAUCCUCAGAAUCGGCAUAACCAAAGGAAUAAAAUGACAUAAAAAUAACAAAAAUCGAUCAACAUUUACAGUAGUUAUAAGGGGUUUUGCAAGAAUCGUUAUAUCUCUUGAACACUAGGUGGCGCUGUCUUCCAACUUCCGGGGUACUUCCGGCACAUGGUGUUGAUGAUGCCUAUCGAUUUUUGUGAAGAUUUGUACAGUAGUUCAAAAGUUAUAGCAAUUUUUGACAAAUUUCAAAAUGGCGGACGGGUGGUCCAGGUGGUCUUGACAAAAUUGACAUCCACAGAUUCGAAAUGAUCUACAGAAACCAUAGACAUCAAGAUCAUAAUUUUCUGAUGAAUUGUUCAGAAGUUAUAAGCUAAAAAGUGCAUUUUUGGUAUCUCAACACCCAUAGGUGGCGCUGUUCCCAAAUUUAGCAUGGACCCCCAGAUCAUGGUGUAGAUGAAGUGUACCAAGAUUGGUAUCGAUUGAUCAAAGUUUGGCCGAGAUACAGCAUCUCUACCGAUUUGAGGUCAACCUCUGUAAGUUCACAGCAUCAUAACUUUUUUUUUCACUAGUGUUCAAAAAAUUCUGUUCAGUCUAUUCUGUGCGGCUCAGUCCAAAGAUUAUCUGUGCCAAAUUUCAGAAGAAUUGGACCAAUUUUGAAGGAGGAGUAGUGUUUAGACUGAUUACUGUACUUUUCAAAAUGGCUGCUACUGUAAUGGGCGGAGUCUUAAUGUAAGAUAUGGAAUGGAAUCUCCAUGAAGAGACAAAACAGAUGUACUAAGUUUUAUUUUCAUAGAAUUAGUGGUUCAAGAGUUAUUAACGUUUGAAUGUUGAAUUUUUGAACUGGUGGUGGCGCUGUAGAGUUGGUCCUAGAGACCCCAAAGUUGGUCAGAUCACUAAUAAUGGUCAUCUCUACAAGUGUGCCAAAUUUCAUCAUUUUCCCAUGUUCCCUUCAUAGGGCUGCCAUAGACUCCCAUUGGACGAGAAGAAGAAGAAGAAGAAUAAUAAUAAUAAUAAUAAUAAUAAUAAUAAAGAAAACGUACAGAUACAAUAGGGGCUACAGCCCUCUGGGCUUGGCCCCUAAAUAUAGCUGCAAGCAGCGAUACCGGGGCCAAGCCCUGAAGGGCUGUAGCCAGAGCAACGAGCGGGACGAAGCAAAACGGCCAAAACGGAACUCCCAUCGGAUCGACGUUACCCACCCCGGAUUCGAUCCCACGACCUCUCGGGUUUGGGACGAGUGCCUUAGCUAAGUGCGCCACAUUAGUUGACACACUGUUUGCAUGGCACAGAAGAGAGGUUAAGGUGUGAGAAUUAACUCUCAAAAGCCCGAAGCAGCAUUUUAGCCAGAUUAGCAUGCUACGCUAAAAAAUGCUAACGUUGCUCAAAGUUAACCAGAUAGUUCAGGAGACCCAUUAGAGUCAAUAGAAACGUGUUAGCAUUUUAGCUAAUUAGCAUGCUAAGCUAAUUAGCAUAAAUCAACCAGCACAGGCACGGUCAACUUCAGAGCUGUACACGUCGGGAACGGGAGUGAAUAUCAAAAAUCUGUUCAGUCAUUUCUGUCAGGCCCGGUCUGAAGUUCAUCUGAUAAAAUUUUGAACAAUAUUGAACAAGAUUUCAGGGAGGAGUAGCGAAAAAACUGUAUUUAAAUCCAUUCAAUAUGGCGGACAGACGCCAUAUUGGAAAAUGGCAAAUGAGACAUCAUCUGAUUUGGCAUAACCCACGGAAUCAAAUGACAUAAAAAUAUCAAAAAUCGAUCAAAAUUUACAGUAGUUAUAAGGGGUUUUGCAAGAAUCGUUAUAUCUCUUGAACACUAGGUGGCGCUGUCUUCUAACUUCCGGGGUACCUCAGGCACAUGUUGUUGAUGAUGCCUAUCGAUUUUUGUGAAGAUAUGUACAAUAGAUCAAAAGAUAUAGCAAUUUAUGACAAAAUCCAAAAUGGCGGACGGGUGGUCCUGGUGGUCUCGACAAAAUUGACAUCCACAGAUCCGGAAUGAUCUAAAGAAUCCAUAGACAUCAAGAUCAUAAUUUUCUGAUGAAUUGUUCAGAAGUUAUAAGCAAAAAAGUGCAUUUUUGGUAUCUCAACACCCAUAGGUGGCGCUAUUCCCAAAUUUGGCAUGGACCCCCAGAUCAUGGUCUAGAUGAAGUGUACCAAGUUUGGUAUCGAUUGAUCAAAGUUUGGCCGAGAUACAGCAUCUCAACCGAUUUUAGGUCAGCCUCAUUAAGUUCACAAUUGAAUAACUUUUGAACAAAAACGAAAAUCAAAAAUCUGUUCAGUCAUUUCUGUGCGGCUCAGUCCAAAGAACAUCUGAGCCAAAUUUCAGAAGAAUUGGACCAAUUUUGAAGGAGGAGUAGUGUUUAGACUGAAUACUGUACUUUUCAAAAUGGCCGCUACUGUAAUGGGUGGAGUCUUAAUGUAAGGUGUGGAAUGGAAUGUCCAUGAAGAGACAAAACAGAUGUACUAAGUUUGAUUUUCAUAGAAUAAGUGGUUCAAGAGUUAUUAACGUUUGAAUGUUGAAUUUUUGGACUGCUGGUGGCGCUAUAGAGUUUGGCCUAGAGACCCCAAAGUUGGUCAGAUCACUAAUAAUGGCCAGUUCUACAAGUGUGCCAAAUUUUAUCAUUUUCCCAUGUUUCCUUCAUAGGGCUGCCAUAGACUCCCAUUGGAGAAGAAGAAGAAUAAUAAUAAUAAUAAUAAAACAUACAGAUACAAUAGGGGCUACAGCCCUUUGGGCUUGGCCCCUAAUAAAGAAAACGUACAGAUACAAUAGGGGCUACAGCCCUCUGGGCUUGGCCCCUAAAUAUAGCUGCAAGCAGCGAUACCGGGGCCAAGCCCUGAAGGGCUGUAGCCAGAGCAACGAGCGGGACGAAGCAAAAUGGCCAAAACGGAACUUACAUCGGAUCGACGUUACCCACUCCGGAUUCGAUCCCACGACCUCUCGGGUUGGGGACCAGUGCCUUAGCUAAGUGCGCCACAUUAGUUGACACACAGUUUGCAUGGCACAGAAGAGAGGUUAAGGUGUGAGAAUGAACUCUCAAAAGCCCGAAGCAGCAUUUUAGCCAGAUUAGCAUGCUACGCUAAAAAAUGCUAACGUUGCUCAAAGUUAACCAGAUACCUCAGGAGACCCAUUGGAGUCAAUAGAAACGUGUUAGCAUUUUAGCUAAUUAGCAUGCUAAGCUAACUAGCAUAAAUCAACAAGCACAGCCACGGUCAACUUCAGAGCUGUACACGUCGGGAACGGGAGUGAAUAUCAAAAAUCUGUUCAGUCAUUUCUGUCAGGCCCGGUCUGAAGUUCAUCUGAUAAAAUUUUGAACAAAAUUGAACAAGAUUUCAGGGAGGAGUAGCGAAAAAACUGUAUUUAAAACCAUUCAAUAUGGCGGACAGACGC